UCGGAAACAGACCUGAGCACAGCAUGAGAGAUGUGAGUUAAACCUAAUGCAGAACAGGGGGGAGAUGAGGAAGAAAAGGCAGCAAGUACAGGACAAGAGUUGCUAUAAACAGAGCCAUUAGGAGAUCCUGCUCCACCAAACAGACUGAGAAAGCUAAGAGAGCAAUAGUAACCCUGACGGAGACUCGCUGCCUCUAAUGCCUCCUUCGUCUUUUGAAGCUGGACAAGAAGAAACGAACAACUUUCAAGGUCCAGUCAAAUCCGCAUUCCUUUCAUAGACUACUGUACUCGUUGGCCUGACAACUGGCGCCUCAUGAGGAUGGAUGAGAAAGGGUCCAAAAGUGACAGGAGGUUAAGAGAAAGGCUGGCAUUCGUGCUAUACUCCAUGGGACAAGACCACUAGACUGGUGUCUCCACUCAGAUGCUUUGUAUCAUGCUGUGACUUAACAAAUCGUCUUUCCAAUCCAUACUAUUCUGUUCAUGUGUCCCCCUCAA